rnacentral:rRNA from 1 species
UACGUAGGGUGCAAGCGUUAAUCGGAAUUACUGGGCGUAAAGCGUGCGCAGGCGGUUAUGUAAGACAGGUGUGAAAUCCCCGGGCUUAACCUGGGAACUGCAUUUGUGACUGCAUAGCUAGAGUACGGUAGAGGGGGAUGGAGUUCCGCGUGUAGCAGUGAAAUGCGUAGAUAUGCGGAGGAACACCGAUGGCGAAGGCAAUCCCCUGGACCUGUACUGACGCUCAUGCACGAAAGCGUGGGGAGCAAACAGG